rnacentral:tRNA from 1 species
GCCGUCAUGGUGAAAUUGGUAGACACGCUAUCUUGAGGGGGUAGUGGCCUAAGGCUGUGUGAGUUCGAGUCUCACUGACGGCACCA